UGGAAACGCGACAGGUUCAUGAAUUAUCCAUCAAGUAAUUCAAGAUGAUCACCACAAGAAGAAGAAAGAGAUAAUACAAAAAUAUAUAUCACAGCCUAGGAGCCAGGGAAGAAGGGAAGGAGGAAGGUGGAAAAACCAGUGAGAAGGAGGGAAGAACCUGAGGAGGGGGAAAGGGCAGGGAAGCAAAAGGAAGGAGAGUGGAAGGAAGGAGGGAGGAAAGGAGGGGACAGGAGGGAGUCCGGGAAGGGAAGGGUAGACUUGGAGGCAGAGCUCCCGAUGGCCUUGAACCAGCUGACUCCGGUCCCUGGCAGCCUAGGUGGAGUUAGGGAGGCCCAAAGGGAGGCUGGGAA
rnacentral:lncRNA from 1 species